UCCUGGCUCUGCUAGCGGCGGGGGCGGCGGCGGUCCUUGCCAAGCGUCGCCUGAACAGACAAGCCCGAUACUCUGCAGCGCCCGUUUCCACCGAUUCCGAGCCCCUUGCCAAGUGAGACGCGGUGGCUGUCGCACGACGUCAAGAACACAAGUGGGCCUGCUGAGCACGUUCUCAUCACACCGCCUCUGAAAACGCUGACUUUUUUUUUCUUCUUCAAUCGGACCAUGAGUGCGAUUGAGCUUCUGUUAAGUCACGCUCAAAGGUUUCUGGUUUUGGGGGGUUUGAGGUUUCUGUGGCAAUGACUUUUUUUUUUUGGAGCAAUCAAUUGACUCACGAAAGAACUGAAUGUCGUCGGAGUCACGAUUGAAUGGGAUUUUUUGGUCCUCCAAAAAUGUGCACGAUGGUUUCGACGGCAUCUCUGCAUUCUUGUUUGAUUGUAUUUGCAGUUUGAAAUGUAAACUUUAUCGUCAUAAGUGAUUCUUUGGCACACCCCGAGAGGGAGCCCGCUGAGCAAAGGCCGAGAGCACGAGAACGAUUCUUCCAUCACCGCUUUCGCUUGAGCAAACAAGUCUGCCAAGGCGCGCAUUGAUCAGAAAGUCACGUGAACAAUUGCGCUCCUUGUCCGAAGCGAUCGCUCGACCAGUGCCAAAGAUGGAAAUGGCCACCGGGGUGCACUACUUGGCCGCGACCAGCAGAGCGAAGGCCGCCGCCUUGGGGCAGGCGCACCCGCUCCGCCGUUUCCCCAUCGAGCCUCGCCAAGCUUUGUAGCGCGGCCAAGUCUCUGUCGGAUGAUUGACUUUGCUCGCUGUUGCAUUCUUGACCUUUCGCUCUCGUUUUGCCGUUGAACUUUGGAAGUAUUUUCAUGAUCGCUUUUUUAUUGAUCCUGAUCUUUGGUUUGGCUUAAUUGGACUUCUUCUUGCUCUUUCCUUGUACUUUGCCUUUUGGUUGAUGAAAUGUUUUUUGUUUGUUUGGUUGCUUUUCCUGGCUCCUUGUGGCCAGCGAUUUCAGCCUGUACUUUUCUGCAAUAAUUUUUUUUUUUCGCACUUUGUCUGAGCCUGCAUUUCUGGAAUCCAAAACAUGAUUCGCUUUGGUUCUGAAGAACCUGACAGAAAGCCUUGGUCAACCUGUUCUUAGUGACACGUUAAUGACUUGCGCAAAUAGCAAUCAACUUUAUUCUACUCGAGAGCGACUCCAUCCGUCGAAACGUCGAUUUGUGACUUCUUCUUCCACGCUUGCACAUGGUCAAAGCAGGCCGAGAAUGCCAUGAGUGUCAUCUGAAUUUUGGCCUGUUUUACGACCGUGACUCUCUCAUGCCCCCUCCCUCCCUCGCCUGGAAGUCAAUUUUAAGGCCCAGACCAACAAACGAUGCUCCUACUUGAAGGACACACA